GGUGGGCAUGGUGCUGAGUGCCUGUGAUCCCAGCUACUCAGAAGGCUGAGGUGGGAGGAUUGCUUGAGCCCAGGAGUUCAGGGCUGCAGUGAGCUAUGUUCAUGCCACUGCACUCCUGCCUGGGCAACAGGGCAAGACCCUGUCUCGA
ensembl:misc_RNA Metazoa_SRP Metazoan signal recognition particle RNA